ACAGAAUAUAAGUCUGUGAUAUAAAUAAUGGGGCACAGAAACUGGUCACGAAAUGGCACCGUUUAACGACGACGACAGGAUGUAGAUCAACGGAGGUGAUUUAAAACUGACUCCCAGAUAAAAUUCAAGAAUUAACAUCGUUGAUCAGCAACAUAAAGUGACUUAUUGUUUCAUUUCCCUCUUUAUCGGUUUUUUCGGCAUAUGCCAGGUAAAAAUGUUUCAUUUUACACGUCAAUAUCUCGGCUUUAGCUGACCGAUUUUAUGCGCUCUGCAACAUUUUUGUUGUUUGAUCCGAUAUACAUAAUGUAUUAAUAUGAUCUUUAACUUCAUAAUUCAGUGUCGUAUUGAGGCGUAUAUGGUCGUUGGUGGGGAAAUUAUAUGUGAUGUUAUCCUUAUGGCUGCGAGGUCUGUAGCCAAUCGCCCAAUCGAUUUAUGUGUUGGUAUAUCUCAAAAAGAAUACAGCAAUAUGUCAUUUGUCAAUUUAUGCGUUGGUGGAGUGGUGAAGUAAAGCUACUGGGUUAAAUGUAGCAACCAAGAUAGCUUAAUCGCAUGUUUAUAAAGGUCCAGAUAAAAUAUAGAGAAAGAAAAAAAGCAUCCGCCGGAAAGUCCCAAAGGAGAAAGAGAAAUGCACGGCCAGAGCAGUAUUCGAACCCGGGACCAUCCGAACCCUAUAGAGACGCUCUACUAACUGAACUACAUGGACGCGGACGAUCGACCUAGUCCCAUGGCAAUACUGGACUAUCGAACAAAGAAGGAAAGACAGAAGGAACACCUAAGAUUAAAGUUUAUCUAGAUUUCCUUUAUGAAGUGAAAGAUGUGAUUGAUAGCCUCCACAAACCACUGGAAAUUCUUUUAAGUAACAUAACCGGAAAAAGUGUGGAGAUCGUAAGAGGUGGUCCUGAUGAAUGUCAACUAAAAUUGACUGGAUUAUUCGCUCCAGAAAGGCCAGCAGACUAUACUGAAGAUGUUAAAAAAAAAGCCGCAGGACGUACCAUAUUGAUACUGUGUAAAGAAGACUUCGAUUGGAAACUAGACAAUGCUCUCUUCAUCCGUUAUACAAAAAACUAUAGCAAAUGUGAGCUCAUGUCUACAAAGACAGUAGAAAACAAAGAAGCCUUACAGGCUUUGAUGAAAAUAUAAAAACAUUGUGUGCUUGACAGUGGUUUAAAUUUCCGAUUUACACACUAUCUGUCACUCUGUCAAUCGUUGCUGGCAUUUGACUUUAAUAAACAGACUUUAAUAAUCA